UCAGGUACACUAGUGUUUUACUGGUCAACAGCCAAGUGAAAAUGGUUUAGUUAAAUCGACCAUGCAGCCGAAUGGAUUGUUCCGGGCCACUGCUCGGCUUUCAAACACCAAAACCACCACAAGAGGGAGCCGUUCACAAUAACUGCAGAACUUGCUGUGCAACAGAUGCUGUAAUGAUCUGAUCCGUGCCUUGUAAACACAGCUCCCCACAGUUUCUUUACUUUCCACAUCUCACGCAACAAUGUAAAAAUAAAGCACCCCUCCACCAUCAUCAUGGUCGCCAUGGAAACCCAAAGGUCUGGGUUGGUGUUUGAUGAUGUGUGCUGUGCUUUAGGGUUA